UACGUAGGGUGCGAGCGUUGUCCGGAAUUAUUGGGCGUAAAGAGCUUGUAGGCGGUCUGUCGCGUCUGCUGUGAAAUCCCGGGGCUUAACCCCGGGCGUGCAGUGGAUACGGGCUGGCUGGAGGCAGGCAGGGGAGAAUGGAAUUCCCGGUGUAGCGGUGAAAUGCGCAGAUAUCGGGAGGAACACCGGUGGCGAAGGCGGUUCUCUGGGCCUGUUCUGACGCUGAGGAGCGAAAGCGUGGGGAGCGAUCCGG
rnacentral:rRNA from 1 species